rnacentral:rRNA from 1 species
AGUGAACGCUGGCGGUAGGCCUAACACAUGCAAGUCGAACGGCAGCACAGUAAGAGCUUGCUCUUACGGGUGGCGAGUGGCGGACGGGUGAGGAAUACAUCGGAAUCUACUUUUUCGUGGGGGAUAACGUAGGGAAACUUACGCUAAUACCGCAUACGACCUUCGGGUGAAAGCAGGGGAUCUUCGGACCUUGCGCGAUUGAAUGAGCCGAUGUCGGAUUAGCUAGUUGGCGGGGUAAAGGCCCACCAAGGCGACGAUCCGUAGCUGGUCUGAGAGGAUGAUCAGCCACACUGGAACUGGGACACGGUCCAGACUCCUACGGGAGGCAGCAGUGGGGAAUAUUGGACAAUGGGCGCAAGCCUGAUCCAGCCAUACCGCGUGGGUGAAGAAGGCCUUCGGGUUGUAAAGCCCUUUUGUUGGGAAAGAAAAGCAGCAGGUUAAUACCCCGCUGUUCUGACGGUACCCAAAGAAUAAGCACCGGCUAACUUCGUG